ACCUGACUGCUAUCGGAUUGAUACUAAGCCAUGCGAGUCAUUGUAGCAAUACAAGGCAUACGGCUCAGUAACGCGUAGUCAACCUAACCUAUGGACGGGAAUAACCUCGGGAAACUGAGAAUAAUGCCCGAUAGAACACUAUACCUGGAAUGGUUUGUGUCCCUAAUGAUUUAUCGCCAUAGGAUGGGACUGCGGCCUAUCAGUUUGUUGGUGAGGUAAUGGCCCACCAAGACUAUUACAGGUACGGGCUCUGAGAGGAGUAGCCCGGAGAUGGGUACUGAGACACGGACCCAGGCCCUAUGGGGCGCAGCAGGCGAGAAAACUUUGCAAUGUGCGAAAGCACGACAAGGUUAAUCCGAGUGAUUUGUGCUAAACGAAUCUUUUGUUAGUCCUAGAAACACUAACGAAUAAGGGGUGGGCAAGUUCUGGUGUCAGCCGCCGCGGUAAAACCAGCACCUCAAGUGGUCAGGAUGAUUAUUGGGCCUAAAGCAUCCGUAGCCGGCUCUGUAAGUUUUCGGUUAAAUCUGUACGCUUAACGUACAGGCUGCCGGGAAUACUGCAAAGCUAGGGAGUGGGAGAGGUAGACGGUACUCGGUAGGAAGUGGUAAAAUGCUUUGAUCUAUCGAUGACCACCUGUGGCGAAGGCGGUCUACCAGAACACGUCCGACGGUGAGGGAUGAAAGCUGGGGGAGCAAACCGGAUUAGAUACCCGGGUAGUCCCAGCUGUAAACUAUGCAAACUCAGUGAUGCAUUGGCUUGUGGCCAAUGCAGUGCUGCAGGGAAGCCGUUAAGUUUGCCGCCUGGGAAGUACGUACGCAAGUAUGAAACUUAAAGGAAUUGGCGGGGGAGCACCACAAGGGGUGAAGCCUGCGGUUC
rnacentral:rRNA from 1 species